rnacentral:rRNA from 1 species
ACACGUGGGCAACCUGCCCUGAGGUGGGGGAUAGCCGUGGGAAACCGCGGGUAAUUCCGCAUACGCUCUCGGGUCGGUAGGACCGGGAGAGGAAAGGGUCGGUAAGACUCGCCUUGGGAGGGGGCUGCGGCCGAUUAGCUAGACGGUGGGGUAAGGGCCUACCGUGGCGAUGAUCGGUAGCUGGUCUGAGAGGACGGCCAGCCACACGGGGACUGAGAGACGGCCCCGACUCCUACGGGAGGCAGCAGCAAGGAAUCUUCCGCAAUGGGGGCAACCCUGACGGAGCAACGCCGCGUGGGGGAUGAGGCCCUUCGGGGUGUAAACCCCUUUUCUUCGGGACGAAGGUCUGACGGUACCGGAGGAAGAAGGACCGGCUAACUACGUGCCAGCAGCCGCGGUAAUACGUAGGGUCCGAGCGUUGUCCGGAGUUACUGGGCGUAAAGGGCGCGCAGGCGGCGGUGCUGGCCCGGCGUGAAAGCCCCCGGCUCAACCGGGGAGGGUCGUCGGGGACCGCACCGCUUGAGGGCGGUAGGGGCUGGUGGAAUGCCUGGUGUAGUGGUGAAAUGCGUAGAGAUCAGGCAGAACACCCGUGGCGAAGCGGCCAGCUGGGCCGACCCUGACGCUGAGGCGCGAAGGCGUGGGGAGCGAACGGGAUUAGAUACCCCGGUAGUCCACGCAGUAACGAUGCCGACUAGGCGUGGGGGGAGUUGACCCCCUCCGUGCCGGAGCCCAACGCGGGAAAGUCGGCCGCCUGGGGGAGUACGGCCGCAAGGGCUAAAACUCAAAGGAAAUUGACGGGGGCCCGCACAAGCGGCGGAGCGUGCGGUUUAAUUCGACGCGACGCGCAGAACCUUUACCAGGGCUUGACAUGCAACUGCAGACUCGUGAAAGCGAGUGGCCUUUCGAGGGUGUUGCACAGGUGCUGCAUGGCUGUCGUCAGCUCGUGCCGUGAGGUGUUGGGUUAAGUCCCGCAACGAGCGCAACCCUUGCCCUUAGUUGC